rnacentral:rRNA from 1 species
UGGGGAAUAUUGGACAAUGGGCGCAAGCCUGACCCAGCAACGCCGCGUGAAGGAUGAAGUAUUUCGGUAUGUAAACUUCGAAAGAAUAGGAAGAAUAAAUGACGGUACUAUUUAUAAGGUCCGGCUAACUACGUGCCAGCAGCCGCGGUAAUACGUAGGGUGCGAGCGUUAAUCGGAAUUACUGGGCGUAAAGGGUGCGCAGGCGGUUUUGUAAGUCAGAUGUGAAAUCCCCGGGCUUAACCUGGGAACUGCGUUUGAAACUACAAGACUGGAGUGUGGCAGAGGGGGGUGGAAUUCCAUGUGUAGCAGUGAAAUGCGUAGAGAUAUGGAAGAACAUCGAUGGCGAAGGCAGCCCCCUGGGUUAACACUGACACUGAGGUGCGAAAGCGUGGGGAGCAAACAGGAUUAGAUACCCACGUAGUCCCUGAGCGGGCUGGCAAGGCGCAU